UGCUUUGGUUUGCUUCUGAAGUUGCCUUUGCCCUGUUACCAGAAGACAUCAAUCAGUUACUAACCGCAUUCCCAGCCUGAGCUGCUGUGAGUGUUCACAUGUUUAAUCAGCCCUGCGUGCUUGCAGGAGGAAUUGCACUCAGAAUAGAUCUUCAUCUUGAAACAACAUCACUUUGAGAUGUUUGGGAAGCAGCAAAACAAAUCAGAUAUUUUACCAAUGGCUUGCUGAAUCAGAAUAGUUACUGCAAAAAUACAUUUUUUUUCCCCUCUCCCACAAGUGGAGUAGACUGUCUGCCUAAGAAAUGUAGCCCAGCCUGGGUUAUGAGCUCCUUAAGGGAUUGUGUUACUGAAAAAACAAUUCAUGGAUUUGAUUAGGUAGAGACCAAGAAGUCAGAGCCAGCUGAAAGCAUCUCUCAAGGCUGGCAAAAUUGUGUUAUGCUGCCCUAGAGCUGGAAAUGGCCCUGGGGCAUCCCUGGGAUGGACAGGAGAGAUGGAAGGAGUGUAACAGCAACGCUGCUCUCACAGAGACUCGUGGUGGUGGCUCUGGGCCUGCCUGUAGGUUUGAAGGUGAAACUAAAUGGGAAGGAGAAGAGUGGAAGAGACCUUCUUUCACCCAAAUAAUCUGCCCAUACUGAGAGGCUGGGAGAGCCAGACUAAGAGGACAGGAGCAAGGUGCAUGCCAUCCCGGGCAGUUUGGCUACCAUUACCACUGUCACACGGAAGACUUAAAAUGAGCUUCUGUUGGGACGGAACAGUUAAAACAACGUUGAGUCCUGCAAGACUCCCCAGCUCAAACUGACCGCUGAAGACCAGCAGCCAAGGAUAAGAGCAAGUGGAGCACGGGAAGGAGCUGGUGGAGGAUCAGACCACAGAAUGUUGACUCCUCCCAGGGCAACAGAGGAGGAGAUGCUCCCUCAGCCAAGGAGCACAGCAAGUAAAUGUCCCGGUGCCUUUGCCUGGACAGCCAGCAGAGAGCAAGGCACUGGGGAGAAAAUAAAACUCCCCUUUCCACCCCAGAGAGCUCAACAUCACCAGCCUGGACAAACACCUCCAGUCUCUUUUCCACGCCGCGGAGUGACGCACUGUAGUUGCAGGAACAAGGCUGGAGCGAGGAGGAGCCUGCUUGCUGCCUGGCCUCACAGGACUCCACAGAGGCCAUGGUGGAGGUGCUGGGUCUGCCAGCAUCGUGCCACCGCCUGCUGCGGGCUCUGCAGGGCGGUCGCUGCCAGCCUGUGCAUGGGCAGCUGCGGCCUGGCAGCCCGACACAGGCACACGUGCUGCUCCGCUGCUCCCGGCCAGAGCUGUCUCCUCUCAUUUGGCUGCUUCACUGCAUGUCAGGCGUGCUGAAGGGCCAGAAAAUACCGGGGUAAUCCAGGUUCACCUGCUGGCUUCCCACCUCAGAUGGCAUCACUCUUGGUCAGAUGUCGCUGCUAUGGCUUCCAGCAGCGUUCGUUCUCUGUGGUCACUGCACAUUGCUGCCACUUGGCCACCUGGAGCUACCCCGAGGGGUCGUACUGCCUGGCAUGGCCUCCAAAUGGACAGCGAAGAGCUGAGGGCACUCUUCAGCCUAGUGCUUGUAAGCAGGAGGUAACUACAAAAAAAAUGAAGCCCUGAACGCAGUUGUUCCAGGGCAAAGCAACCUCAGUGCUUGUGCUGCCUUCUUCCAAAAGCACCAAGUGUGUCACUGCAGCCUUUCCAACUUGUCUGUCAGUCCUUGAGCUGGAUUCAGUCUUCACCUUCUGCAAGGCAGCUUUUGACUGUAGACAGCCUGAUCUUACUGUAAGGAUUUGUGCGAGGAGUCCUGUGGCUUAAAUAGGGCUGCAAAAUGAGUGGCUGCAUUUAUCCACUCUAUUUCAGGAUCUGAUUUAUGCUGUUAA